ACGAACGCUGGCGGCGUGCUUAACACCUGCCAGUCGGACGGAAAGGCCCUGCUUUUGUGGGGUGCUCGUGUGGCGAACGGGUGAGUAACACGUGAGUAACCUGCCCUUGACUUUGGGAUAACUUCAGGAAACUGGGGCUAAUACCGGCUAGGAGCUCCUGCUGCUUGGUGGGGGUUGGAAAGUUUCGGCGGUUGGGGAUGGACUCGCGGCGUAUCAGCUUGUUGGUGGGGUAGUGGCUUACCAAGGCUUUGACGGGUAGCCGGCCUGAGAGGGUGACCGGCCAAAUUGGGACUGAGAUGCGGCCCAGACUACUACGGGAGGCAGCAGUGGGGAAUAUUGCACAAUGGGCGGAAGCCUGAUGCAGCAACGCCGCGUGCGGGAUGACGGCCUGCGGGUUGUAAACCGCUUUCGCCUGUGACGAAGCGUGAGUGACGGUAAUGGGUAAAGAAGCACCGGCUAACUACGUG
rnacentral:rRNA from 1 species